rnacentral:other from 1 species
AAUCCCCUGCGGUGUUCGUGAGAAACGCUUUCCUCCUGAGCCGAUACUUAUAGAACCCAGGAAUCCAUGCCCUGAUCGUGAAGUGCGAGCCCGAACCAUGUGGGAUUGCCGGCAGCGAUUAUUUCAGGAAUCCACUUAUUAAACGGGUUCAGAGGACGCCAAGUCCACGGCACAGGCGGGGGAUUU